rnacentral:hammerhead_ribozyme from 1 species
GUCCAGCUGACGAGUCCUAAAUAGGACGAAACGUGCGUCCUGGAU